GAGACAUGGAGGAAGGUGGAAAGAUAACAGUGAAUAUGAGACAUGGAGGAAGGUAUUGGGAAGGUAGAAAGAUAACAGUGAAUGAGACAUGGGGGAAGGUAGAAAGAUAACAGUGAAUAUGAGACAUGGAGGAAGGUAGAAAGAUAACAGUGAAUAUGAGACAUGGAGGAAGGUAGAAAGAUAACAGUGAAUAUGAGACAUGGGGGAAGGUAGAACAUAACAGUGAAUAUGAGACAUGGAGGAAGGUGGAAAGAUAACAGUGAAUAUGAGACAUGGAGGAAGGUAUUGGGAAGACUGAAAGAUAACAGUGAAUAUGAGACAUGGGGGAAGGUAGAAAGAUAACAGUGAAUAUGAGACAUGGAGGAAGGUAUUAGGAAGGUAGAAAGGUAACAGUGAAUAUGAGCCAUGGGGGAAGGUAGAAAGAUAACAGUGAAUAUGAGACAUGGGGGAAGGUAUUGGGAAGGCAGAAAGAUAACAGUGAAUAUGAGACAUGGAGGAAGGUAGAAAGAUAACAGUGAAUAUGAGACAUGGAG
rnacentral:lncRNA from 1 species